UAAGGAGGGUGCAAGCGUUGUUCGGAAUCACUGGGCGUAAAGCGCGUGUAGGCGGCUUGGCAAGUCGAGUGUGAAAUCCCAGGGCUCAACCCUGGAACUGCACCCGAAACUGCCUCGCUGGAGUCCCGGAGGGGGUGGCGGAAUUUCCGGUGUAGAGGUGAAAUUCGUAGAUACCGGAAGGAACACCAGUGGCGAAGGCGGCCACCUGGACGGUGACUGACGCUGAGACGCGAAAGCGUGGGGAGCAAACAGG
rnacentral:rRNA from 1 species